UACGUAGGUUCCAAGCGUUAUCCGGAAUCACUGGGCGUAAAGCGUGCGUAGGUGGUAAUUUGCGUGCAGUGCGAAAUUGUGUGGCUCAACCAUACAACGGUACUGCAUACGGGAUUACUAGAGGACAUGAGAGGCAAGUGGAAUUACUGGUGUAGCAGUGAAAUGCGUAGAUAUCAGUAGGAACACCAAUGGCGAAGGCAGCUUGCUGGCAUGUAUCUGACGCUAAGGCACGAAAGCGUGGGGAGCGAACAGG
rnacentral:rRNA from 1 species